rnacentral:rRNA from 1 species
UACGGGGGGGGCAAGCGUUGUUCGGAAUUACUGGGCGUAAAGGGCUCGUAGGCGGCCAACUAAGUCAGACGUGAAAUCCCUCGGCUUAACCGGGGAACUGCGUCUGAUACUGGAUGGCUUGAGUUUGGGAGAGGGAUGCGGAAUUCCAGGUGUAGCGGUGAAAUGCGUAGAUAUCUGGAGGAACACCGGUGGCGAAGGCGGCAUCCUGGACCAACACUGACGCUGAGGAGCGAAAGCCAGGG